rnacentral:rRNA from 1 species
GCCUACGGGGCGCAGCAGUGAGGAAUAUUGGUCAAUGGACGAGAGUCUGAACCAGCCAAGUAGCGUGAAGGAUGACUGCCCUAUGGGUUGUAAACUUCUUUUAUAUGGGAAUAAAACAGGGUAUGCAUACCCUCUUGUAUGUACCAUAUGAAUAAGGAUCGGCUAACUCCGUGCCAGUAGCCGCGGUAAUACGGAGGAUCCGAGCGCUAUCCGGAUUUAUUGGGUUUAAAGGGUGCGUAGGCGGUCCGGAAAGUCAGCGGUAAAAGCCAGGGGCUCAACCCCGGCGAGCCGUUGAAACUGUCGGG